UAGGGAAUCUUCCGCAAUGGGCGAAAGCCUGACGGAGCAACGCCGCGUGAGUGAAGAAGGUCUUCGGAUCGUAAAACUCUGUUAUUAGGGAAGAACAAAUGUGUAAGUAACUAUGCACGUCUUGACGGUACCUAAUUAGAAAGCCACGGCUAACUACGUGCCAGCAGCCGCGGUAAUACGUAGGUGGCAAGCGUUAUCCGGAAUUAUUGGGCGUAAAGCGCGCGUAGGCGGUUUGUUAAGACUGAUGUGAAAUCCCACGGCUCAACCGGGGAAAGGCAUUGGAGACUGGAAAACUUGAGUGCAGAAGAGGAGAGUGGAAUUCCACGUGUAGCAGUGAAAUGCGCAGGGAUAUGGAGGAACACCAGUGGCGAAGGCGACUUUCUGGUCUGUUACUGACGCUGAUGAGCGAAAGCGUGGGGAUCAAACAGG
rnacentral:rRNA from 1 species